UACAGAGGGUGCUAGCGUUGUUCGGAAUCAUUGGGCGUAAAGGGCGUGUAGGCGGUUUUGUUAAGUCAUGUGUGAAAUCCCUCGGCUCAACCGGGGAACGACGCAUGAAACUGGCAAGCUAGAGUACCAAAGAGGGGUGGAAUUCCCGGUGUAGCGGUGAAAUGCGUAGAUAUCGGGGAGGAACACCUGUGGCGAAGGCGGCCCCUGGUUGGAUACUGACGCUGAUACGCGAAAGCGUGGGGAGCAAACAGGAU
rnacentral:rRNA from 1 species